rnacentral:rRNA from 1 species
UUUCCGGUUGAUCCUGCCGGAGGUUACUGCUAUCGAGGUUCGACUAAGCCAUGCGAGUCGAAUGUAGCAAUACAUGGCGUACUGCUCAGUAACACGUGGACAACCUGCCCUUAGGACGGGGAUAAACCCGGGAAACUGGGUAUAAUACCCGAUAGGUCUCGAGUGCUGGAAUGCAUCGAGAUCUAAAGCUCCGGCGCCUAAGGAUGGGUCUGCGGCCUAUCAGGUAGUAGUGGGUGUAGUGUACCUACUAGCCUACGACGGGUACGGGUUGUGAGAGCAAGAGCCCGGAGAUGGAUUCUGAGACACGAAUCCAGGCCCUACGGGGUGCAGCAGGCGCGAAAACUUUACAAUGCUGGCAACAGCGAUAAGGGAAUCUCGAGUGCCAGGUUACAAAUCUGGCUGUCGAGAUGCCUAAAAAGCAUUUCAUAGCAAGGGCCGGGCAAGACCGGUGCCAGCCGCCGCGGUAACACCGGCGGCUCGAGUGGUAACCGUUAUUAUUGGGUCUAAAGGGUCUGUAGCCGGCCGGAUAAGUCUCUUGAGAAAUCUGGCAGCUUAACUGUCAGGCUUUCAGGAGAUACUGUCUGGCUCGAGGCCGGGAGAGGUGAGAGGUACUUCAGGGGUAGGGGUGAAAUCUUGUAAUCCUUGAAGGACCACCAGUGGCGAAGGCGUCUCACCAGAACGGACCUGACGGCAAGGGACGAAAGCUAGGGGCACGAACCGGAUUAGAUACCCGGGUAGUCCUAGCCGUAAACGAUACUCGCUAGGUGUCGGCCACGGUGCGACCGUUGUCGGUGCCGUAGGGAAGCCGUGAAGCGAGCCACCUGGGAAGUACGGCCGCAAGGCUGAAACUUAAAGGAAUUGGCGGGGGAGCACCACAACGGGUGGAGCUUGCGGUUUAAUUGGAUUCAACGCCGGA